GGGUUGUGAGGUUAAGCGACUAAGCGUACACGGUGGAUGCCCUGGCAGUCAGAGGCGAUGAAGGACGUGCUAAUCUGCGAAAAGCGUCGGUAAGGUGAUAUGAACCGUUAUAACCGGCGAUGUCCGAAUGGGGAAACCCAGUGUGAUUCGUCACACUAUCGUUAACUGAAUACAUAGGUUAACGAGGCGAACCGGGGGAACUGAAACAUCUAAGUACCCCGAGGAAAAGAAAUCAACCGAGAUUCCCCCAGUAGCGGCGAGCGAACGGGGAGCAGCCCAGAGUCUGAAUCAGCUUGUGUGUUAGUGGAACGGUCUGGAAAGUCCGACGGUACAGGGUGAUAGUCCCGUACACCAAAAUGCACAGGUUGUGAACUCGAAGAGUAGGGCGGGACACGUGGUAUCCUGUCUGAAUAUGGGGGGACCAUCCUCCAAGGCUAAAUACUCCUGACUGACCGAUAGUGAACCAGUACCGUGAGGGAAAGGCGAAAAGAACCCCGGCGAGGGGAGUGAAAAAGAACCUGAAACCGUGUACGUACAAGCAGUGGGAGCACCUUCGGGUGUGACUGCGUACCUUUUGUAUAAUGGGUCAGCGACUUAUAUUCUGUAGCAAGGUUAACCGUAUAGGGGAGCCGCAGGGAAACCGAGUCUUAACUGGGCGUUAAGUUGCAGGGUAUAGACCCGAAACCCGGUGAUCUAGCCAUGGGCAGGUUGAAGGUUGGGUAACACUAACUGGAGGACCGAACCGACUAAUGUUGAAAAAUUAGCGGAUGACUUGUGGCUGGGGGUGAAAGGCCAAUCAAACCGGGAGAUAGCUGGUUCUCCCCGAAAGCUAUUUAGGUAGCGCCUCGUGAACUCAUCUUCGGGGGUAGAGCACUGUUUCGGCUAGGGGGUCAUCCCGACUUACCAACCCGAUGCAAACUACGAAUACCGAAGAAUGUUAUCACGGGAGACACACGGCGGGUGCUAACGUCCGUCGUGAAGAGGGAAACAACCCAGACCGCCAGCUAAGGUCCCAAAGUCAUGGUUAAGUGGGAAACGAUGUGGGAAGGCACAGACAGCCAGGAUGUUGGCUUAGAAGCAGCCAUCAUUUAAAGAAAGCGUAAUAGCUCACUGGUCGAGUCGGCCUGCGCGGAAGAUGUAACGGGGCUAAACCAUGCACCGAAGCUGCGGCAGCGACACUAUGUGUUGUUGGGUAGGGGAGCGUUCUGUAAGCCUGCGAAGGUGACCUGUGAGGGUUGCUGGAGGUAUCAGAAGUGCGAAUGCUGACAUAAGUAACGAUAAAGCGGGUGAAAAGCCCGCUCGCCGGAAGACCAAGGGUUCCUGUCCAACGUUAAUCGGGGCAGGGUGAGUCGACCCCUAAGGCGAGGCCGAAAGGCGUAGUCGAUGGGAAACAGGUUAAUAUUCCUGUACUUGGUGUUACUGCGAAGGGGGGACGGAGAAGGCUAUGUUAGCCGGGCGACGGUUGUCCCGGUUUAAGCAUGUAGGCUGGUUGUCCAGGCAAAUCCGGAUAAUCAAGGCUGAGGUGUGAUGACGAGGCACUACGGUGCUGAAGUAACAAAUGCCCUGCUUCCAGGAAAAGCCUCUAAGCAUCAGGUAACAUUAAAUCGUACCCCAAACCGACACAGGUGGUCAGGUAGAGAAUACCAAGGCGCUUGAGAGAACUCGGGUGAAGGAACUAGGCAAAAUGGUGCCGUAACUUCGGGAGAAGGCACGCUGGUGUGUAGGUGAAGUCCCUGCGGAUGGAGCUGAGACCAGUCGAAGAUACCAGCUGGCUGCAACUGUUUAUUAAAAACACAGCACUGUGCAAACACGAAAGUGGACGUAUACGGUGUGACGCCUGCCCGGUGCCGGAAGGUUAAUUGAUGGGGUUAUCCGUAAGGAGAAGCUCUUGAUCGAAGCCCCGGUAAACGGCGGCCGUAACUAUAACGGUCCUAAGGUAGCGAAAUUCCUUGUCGGGUAAGUUCCGACCUGCACGAAUGGCGUAAUGAUGGCCAGGCUGUCUCCACCCGAGACUCAGUGAAAUUGAACUCGCUGUGAAGAUGCAGUGUACCCGCGGCAAGACGGAAAGACCCCGUGAACCUUUACUAUAGCUUGACACUGAACAUUGAGCCUUGAUGUGUAGGAUAGGUGGGAGGCUUUGAAGCGUGGACGCCAGUCUGCGUGGAGCCAACCUUGAAAUACCACCCUUUAAUGUUUGAUGUUCUAACGUUGGCCCCUUACCGGGGUUGCGGACAGUGUCUGGUGGGUAGUUUGACUGGGGCGGUCUCCUCCCAAAGCGUAACGGAGGAGCACGAAGGUUAGCUAAUCCUGGUCGGACAUCAGGAGGUUAGUGCAAUGGCAUAAGCUAGCUUGACUGCGAGCGUGACGGCGCGAGCAGGUGCGAAAGCAGGUCAUAGUGAUCCGGUGGUUCUGAAUGGAAGGGCCAUCGCUCAACGGAUAAAAGGUACUCCGGGGAUAACAGGCUGAUACCGCCCAAGAGUUCAUAUCGACGGCGGUGUUUGGCACCUCGAUGUCGGCUCAUCACAUCCUGGGGCUGAAGUAGGUCCCAAGGGUAUGGCUGUUCGCCAUUUAAAGUGGUACGCGAGCUGGGUUUAGAACGUCGUGAGACAGUUCGGUCCCUAUCUGCCGUGGGCGCUGGAGAAUUGAGGGGGGCUGCUCCUAGUACGAGAGGACCGGAGUGGACGCAUCACUGGUGUUCGGGUUGUCAUGCCAAUGGCACUGCCCGGUAGCUAAAUGCGGAAGAGAUAAGUGCUGAAAGCAUCUAAGCACGAAACUUGCCCCGAGAUGAGUUCUCCCUGAGACUUUAAGUCUCCUGAAGGAACGUUGAAGACGACGACGUUGAUAGGCCGGGUGUGUAAGCGCAGCGAUGCGUUGAGCUAACCGGUACUAAUGAACCGUGAGGCUUAACCUUACAACGCCGAAG
rnacentral:rRNA from 1 species